rnacentral:rRNA from 1 species
UGGGGAAUAUUGGACAAUGGGCGAAAGCCUGAUCCAGCCAUGCCGCGUGUGUGAAGAAGGUCUUCGGAUUGUAAAGCACUUUAAGUUGGGAGGAAGGGCAUUAACCUAAUACGUUAGUGUUUUGACGUUACAGACAGAAUAAGCACCGGCUAACUCUGUGCCAGCAGCCGCGGUAAUACAGAGGGUGCAAGCGUUAAUCGGCAUUACUGGGCGUAAAGCGCGCGUAGGUGGUUUGUUAAGUUGGAUGUGAAAUCCCCGGGCUCAACCUGGGAACUGCAUUCAAAACUGACUGACUAGAGUAUGGUAGAGGGUGGUGGAAUUUCCUGUGUAGCGGUGAAAUGCGUAGAUAUAGGAAGGAACACCAGUGGCGAAGGCGACCACCUGGACUAAUACUGACACUGAGGUGCGAAAGCGUGGGGAGCAAACA